AUUGAACGCUGGCGGCAUGCCUUACACAUGCAAGUCGAACGGUAACAGGUCUUCGGAUGCUGACGAGUGGCGAACGGGUGAGUAAUACAUCGGAACGUGCCUAGUAGUGGGGGAUAACUACUCGAAAGAGUGGCUAAUACCGCAUGAGAUCUACGGAUGGAAGCAGGGGAUCGCAAGACCUUGUGCUACUAGAGCGGCCGAUGGCAGAUUAGGUAGUUGGUGGGAUAAAAGCUUACCAAGCCGACGAUCUGUAGCUGGUCUGAGAGGACGAUCAGCAACACUGGGACUGAGACACGGCCCAGACUCCUACGGGAGGCAGCAGUGAGGAAUUUUGGACAAUGGGCGCAAGCCUGAUCCAGCAAUGCCGCGUGCAGGAUGAAGGCCUUCGGGUUAUAAACUGCUUUUGUACGGAACGAAAAGCCCUGGGUUAAUACCCUGGGGUCAUGACGGUACCGUAAGAAUAAGCACCGGCUAACUACGUGCCAGCCGCCGCGGUAAUAC
rnacentral:rRNA from 1 species